rnacentral:rRNA from 1 species
AUUGAACGCUGGCGGCAUGCCUAACACAUGCAAGUCGAACGAGUGGCGGACGGGUGAGUAAUGUCUGGGAAACUGCCCGAUGGAGGGGGAUAACUACUGGAAACGGUAGCUAAUACCGCAAACCAUCGGAUGUGCCCAGAUGUGUUUAUCUAGUAGGUGGGGUAAUGGCUCACCUGGGCGACGAUCCCUAGCUGGUCGGCGAGGAUGACCAGCCACACUGGAACUGAGACACGGUCCAGACUCCUACGGGAGGCAGCAGUGGGGAAUAUUGCACAAUGGGCGCAAGCCUGAUGCAGCCAUGCCGCGUGAAUGAAGAAGGCCUUCGGGUUGUAAAGUACUUUCAGCGGGGAGGCGGUAAACGAAGAAGAAGCACCGGCUAACUCUGUGCCAGCCGCCGCGGUAAUAC